CAAUGUUCCGGACCAUUUCUGUGUUUUAGGGAAUCGCGCGUUGUACAACAACCUCGGAGAGAAGUGCAACACAAUAUAUGUUAAUCUAACGUUACGUUAGUUUUCAAGAUGUCUAACACCAAACUGUUGCAUUUGCGGAGUUGUUUAACUGAACGCUUUACUACUGCGGUCGUGGAGAUAUUUGGAGAAGUAGAAACUAUUGUGGAGGCUUACUACGAGGAAAACAAGCGCCUACGGGAUGUGCUGCACAUGGUGCUCAACCCCGAGAUAAAGCUGUCGAAAAUAGAUGUUGGCCAAUACUCUGGAGCCACAAAUGUCAGAGAGCAGCCCUGUGACCUGAGCUCUAGGCUGGAUCAGGAAAUACUAGAACCGUUGCCCAAAAUACCUAAAGAAGAGCCAAUUGAAUAUGACAUAAGUUAUGGAUCAGAACAACAACAACAAAGACUGGGGGAAGUGGAUAACUUUAUUUCCACAGAUUGUGUAAAAUAUGAAACAGAAGAAGAAGACUCAAGCAUGCCCUGUAUCACUGAUGCAUUCCACAUAAAGGUGAUUGAGUUCAACCCGGACUCAUCAGGCACUCUCCAGACUAAAGAAGAGAUGAACUGCUCCCCAUCGGUCUCAGAUGCGAUAACAGAUAACCCACAGCUAAACAUGAGUGAAGAAAGCACAAGUAAAAGUCUGGAACCUCAAAAACCUGAUAAAAUGUCAACCAUAAACAUAACGAAGCAAAAGCUCCCCCUGCAGAAAACCAUGCUAGAAUUAACGAGGAUGAUGCCUCACACACCCAUCAUUCCUUACCCAGUUGAGGGCCAGUCCUUCUUGGAAAGGCUCACUGAAGCUUUCAAGGAUAUUCCAGAAGACAAGAAGCCUCUGAUAACCAAAAUGGGCCUCACAAAGAAUGUGGAAUUAGUGGACUCCUGCCUUGGGUAAAGUCCCUCGUGGUAGCCCCCUGUCCUACUUGUGCCCCGUGCCAUCAAGUCGGGAUUACAAGAUUUAUGAAGAUGCCCCCCCUAGGCCACUGCUUCCUCUGGCUAACUACAGUCUUGAGCCAAUGCCAGCUCUUCCUAUCCUCAGUGCGAAGGAGCAGGAACACAUGGACGUCAUGCAUAUCACCUGGGAGGAAGCACGCAGUCUGGAGCAGUCCACACGUGGACGUAAGGAGGAAGUCGAGGAGCUGCGAAAUCUGCGCCUGACCAGCCGUUUCAGGGAUAUCUGCUAUCUUAAACGAGGAAUGAGCAAUGCGGAGCACCUUGUAUUCAAGAUACAGAAAGGACUACCUAAGGGUAAGGCGGCACAGGUCGAGGAGGAAAUGAGGGUGGAAGCACUUCGGGAGUACUGUAAGCAAAUGUGUGUCAACUGGUCCACCUGCGGUUUGGUUGUUCAACCGAAUGCUCCGUGGCUGGGGGCGCUGCCUGACGGGUUGGUGUACGACCCCAAGGAGAUGCCCAGUUACGGGAUGGUGCAUAUCAAAAUCGUUAGCUUCCCAAGCUUCAUUGGGUGCAAUUUCCUUACCUGCCAGAAUGGAGCCUUGCAACUGAAGAGGAACCACUCGAUUUAUUGGCAAAUCCAAGGAGAGAUGAUGGUGACGGGCACUGAGUGGUGUGAUUUGUUGGUGUUCUCCAAAGAAGACAUGCUGGUUCAGCGCAUCUACCGAGACACAGCUCUAAUCAAGGUCAUGAAGAAGAAGUUGGAUGAUUUCUUUUUCUAUUACUACCUGCCAUGUCUGUUUAAAUCUGAUGGCAUAACUUGAGCAUCGUCGUACCAUCGCUACUUGCUGUACCCCUUAGGCAAUUGGUAUAGUGAGUUUAAGCAGGCAUAAAAAAAUUACGCUGACCACGUUCUACAUCGGCUGUGGCAAUGGCGGAGGGCUGUGUCAAAAAUGUUUUGAACUAGUUUCACUCUAAUUAGAUUAUUAUUUGGUUUUUUUUUGUUUUUUUUCACAUUCAUGUAUCUUUUAUUUAGGGACACUUCAAGAGACUGUCAAAGCAUAAUAAGUGGUAUAUUUUUGUGCCUUUUUUAUUAUGUAUUUUUAUAUAUAUGUAUUUAAAAAUAAAAUUUCAAAAAUAAAAAUGUGUACACAAAAGCUUAAUGAUUUACUCCUUAAAUGCUCACUCUCUUUACACUUCAAACCCUUUCACGUCUCAUGUCUUUACUUUUGAACUACAGCAGUAAAAGAAAAAACUUCUGCUCUUAUAACUUCCUCUGUACACAAUUGACUGCUGUUUUUGUUUUUUUUACUUGAAUGUGCACUAAAUAUUUCAACUCACUCACUUAGAGCUCA